rnacentral:rRNA from 1 species
GGAGUUUGGGCCGUGUCUCAGUCCCAAUGUGGCCGAUCAGUCUCUCAACUCGGCUAUGCAUCAUCGUCUUGGUAAGCCUUUACCCCACCAACUAACUAAUGCACCGCGGAUCCAUCUCUAGGUGACGCCGUAGCGCCUUUUAACUUGAUAUCAUGCGAUACUAAGUUUUAUUCGGUAUUAGCAUCUGUUUCCAAAUGUUAUCCCCAGCCUUGAGGCAGGUUAUCCACGUGUUACUCACCCGUUCGCCACUCGCUUGAAAGGUGCAAGCACCUCUCGCUGCGCGUUCGACUUGCAUGUAUUAGGCACGCCGCCAGCGUUCAUC